ensembl:lncRNA
UCAUGGAAAUGCAAGGUUUAUUCAUGCUCCAAAAAACCCAAGGCUUGUUCCUCUCCUUUUCUGCUCACUCUUCCUGUAAGAAACAGACUGACAGAGGCUAAAGAAAGAAAAAGGGGAGGGGGGGGAAUUUGUUUUACAGUGGGGGGCUCCUUAUCCAGACAACAGAAACCUGGCAAGGCAAAAGAAUUGUACCAUCACCUUCUCUUCUGCAGCAGGCAACUGAGAGCUGGAUAGACAGGAGACAUUUUGCAAGACUCUGCAACUGAAGCAGUGCUAACCAGGUGGUGCGGGUUCAAAUGGCUGCCAAGCUUUUCGUUCUAAUCAGCUGGCCAGAUGGCAGCCGUGUGAUCAACAUCGAAAACAUCAAAGAACCCCGAAAGCCAUUUCAUCGCUACAUGGUGGGGGAGCAGGUGCUAGCCCGCUGCCCUGGCUUCAGUGGUCUGUACUGGGGGGUUGUGGAAGGCAUAAGCGAGCAUAAAGAUAUCUUAGAGAAAAGGCUGCAGGAAAAUAGACAACUCUUUGAGAAGCUAAGUAAGUAUGGAGUUUUGCACAGGAGGAUUAAUAUACAGCAGGCAGUGUAUUUCUGGAGGAAAGUAAUUAACUAUAUUAACCUUAUACCCCGGUGUGGUUUUUUUAAAUGGAUGGAUCAUAAAUAUAUCCUCGUCCCAUCCCUUAUGAAUCGUACGACAGCGUCCAUGUAGUAAGGACUGAGAACACUGCUGUGGGAUGUUGCAAUAUAUGUCAUUGUGGUAUUGCCAAUUACCAUAUGGGCCCCAUCUUGGUUUCAGAAGACGAACCAGCAGUGCACAGUGGGCUGCCAUCCCAACCUAAAAAAUCAAGGAAGUCUUUUCCAAAAUGGAUGCCAGGAAGUUCCUCUCGGAAAUACAGCGAUGACCGGAGCUUCUAUGUCAAACCGCUGGUCGGGGAUGAAGACGCAGGGCUCCAGCGUGAUGCUGCCAUCUCUUCUGUCUUAAAAGAGAGGCGCAUCCUGACUAGCACGACUAGAUCCCACUGCACAAUGUCAGCACCUCACCACUCUUCCCCGGCCUUCAAAUCACCAUCUCCGUUCUUGUCCCUGGCUGUGCCUGGAACAUCCCAGAAUGAAGAAGCAAGGCCUGGCACAGCUACCAGAGAUUACAUCACCCUGACAAUGAAAAGGAAGUCAGAUGGCAUUCUAGCUAAGUGUCAGCAGCACAUCUGUACCAACAGCUGUGAUGAACCAAAGACUGAAGGUUCCCCAGAAACAGAUGAUUUUGAGGUAGUUCCGAAAGAUUUUGGCCCUGGUGAAAUGGAAAGGUCCGAGAAGAUUGAACAACUGGAGAGAAUCAUAGUAGAUCUCCAGCAAGAGGUCCUCUCCCUGAAACGGAAGGUGCAGCGGCUGGAGUCACUGUCCUUUCAGGAAGAACCCCAUAGGCAGCAAGGCGAGGUGGUGGAAUUGUUUAAUGGCUACACAAAGGAGCAUUUAAAAGAGGCCAUCCGAUUUGACCAGAAAAUCAGCACCGCCUGCAAAACACUACUCUACAAGCUGUUCACGUCCGACUAUAUACAGAGCCACUCCAUCACAGGAAGGAGAGGGAACACCUUUCGGGAGGCUAAGCCCAUGAUGGAUGAGCGGUGCAUCAAAAUCAUUAGGGUGUUACUGAAGCAGAAGUUUGGGGACCACCUGAGCGACACAGUAAUCACUGAGAAAAUCCAAAAUGUGCAGAAAGCACUCAGGCAGAAAUUUAAGACGGAAUGUCUCUGA